rnacentral:rRNA from 1 species
GACGAACGCUGGCGGCGUGCCUAAUACAUGCAAGUCGAACGCUUCUUUCCUCCCGAGUGCUUGCACUCAACUGGAAAGAGGAGUGGCGGACGGGUGAGUAACACGUGGGUAACCUACCCAUCAGAGGGGGAUAACACUUGGAAACAGGUGCUAAUACCGCAUAACAGUUUAUGCCGCAUGGCAUAAGAGUGAAAGGCGCUUUCGGGUGUCGCUGAUGGAUGGACCCGCGGUGCAUUAGCCAGUUGGUGAGGUAACGGCUCACCAAGGCCACGAUGCAUAGCCGACCUGAGAGGGUGAUCGGCCACACUGGGACUGAGACACGGCCCAGACUCCUACGGGAGGCAGCAGUAGGGAAUCUUCGGCAAUGGACGAAAGUCUGACCGAGCAACGCCGCGUGAGUGAAGAAGGUUUUCGGAUCGUAAAACUCUGUUGUUAGAGAAGAACAAGGACGUUAGUAACUGAACGUCCCCUGACGGUAUCUAACCAGAAAGCCACGGCUAACUACGUGCCAGCAGCCGCGGUAAUACGUAGGUGGCAAGCGUUGUCCGGAUUUAUUGGGCGUAAAGCGAGCGCAGGCGGUUUCUUAAGUCUGAUGUGAAAGCCCCCGGCUCAACCGGGGAGGGUCAUUGGAAACUGGGAGACUUGAGUGCAGAAGAGGAGAGUGGAAUUCCAUGUGUAGCGGUGAAAUGCGUAGAUAUAUGGAGGAACACCAGUGG